rnacentral:misc_RNA from 1 species
UAAUGAGAAUUGUGCAAAAAAUCAUAUAGCAAUUGUGAAUUUUUGCUGAAGUGAAUCUAUUUGUGAUUUUAGAUUAGACCUGGAAUGGCAAAUUGUUUUGUUUGACGUAUUUUAUGUUAAGCUGGAUGGCUGUAAUUUUGGGGUGUUUUAGUUUAGAAGUUGCUGUGUACUACAUUGCAAGGUUUGUGACAUGGAUCUCACAUUAGAUGUAUGGGAUUCUGCUGAGGGGUUUAUAAGGACUCGGGCUCUCCCA